rnacentral:ncRNA from 2 species
AAUUUCCUUCGGGGCUGGGUGGAAAUCCCGACCGGCGGUAAAGCCCGCGAGCGAAAGCUGAACCGUUGAAAUUACGGUGCCGACUGUAAAGUCAGGAUGGAAGAAGGAUAAU